GACGAACGCUGGCGGCGUGCUUAACACAUGCAAGUCGAACGGAAAGGCCCUGCUUUUGUGGGGUGCUCGAGUGGCGAACGGGUGAGUAACACGUAAGUAACCUGCCCUUGACUUUGGGAUAACUUCAGGAAACUGGGGCUAAUACCGGAUAGGAGCUCCUGCUGCAUGGUGGGGGUUGGAAAGUUUCGGCGGUUGGGGAUGGACUCGCGGCUUAUCAGCUUGUUGGUGGGGUAGUGGCUUACCAAGGCUUUGACGGGUAGCCGGCCUGAGAGGGUGACCGGCCACGUUGGGACUGAGAUACGGCCCAGACUCCUACGGGAGGCAGCAGUGGGGAAUAUUGCACAAUGGGCGGAAGCCUGAUGCAGCAACGCCGCGUGCGGGAUGACGGCCUUCGGGUUGUAAACCGCUUUCGCCUGUGACGAAGCGUGAGUGACGGUAAUGGGUAAAGAAGCACCGGCUAACUACGUG
rnacentral:rRNA from 1 species